GCAAACAGUGCUUGAAGUUUUGGAUAUGGAUGAGACAUUGGCCGUAUGCUGGGAUGGAGCUUUGUGCCUGGAGAAAGGAACAGAACAGGAUCUUAGCAGCCACUCUGAGACCUGGAAGAAUAUUUGCAUGUUCACAGAGAGCUGACAUAUGUGAAGAGGAUGGUCGAUGUACCUAAGGUCUAAUGAAACCUCAUUUACUAUGGGCACUUUGACCUCUAUUCUUGUCUUUCACUCCUAGCAAUAACCCUAGCUUCUCCUAAACUAUGUUCUCUACUGCAUCCACAGUGGGGGUAGCAUGAUAUGUAGUAGCCCAGAGCUACCAGUCUAAGCAUCAUUGAAAAUAUUAGCCCAUCUUUAUGAAAACACAGAUCAAUGACUGAGGAGCCAGUGCCAGUCUCUACUUGAAAAGACGACCUUUGCUUAGUCUGUACAAUUAUAGGUAUUAUUUCCCAAUUCGUAUAAUUAUCACUGAUUUAAAAAGAAUAUGUGAAUGAUAGGAAAAUAACCCAUUUUUCUUCAGUUUUCUUAUGUAGCUGCCUUCAAAAAAAAAAAACAAAUUACAU